rnacentral:rRNA from 1 species
GAAUUCGCCCUUAGAGUUUGAUCCUGGCUCAGGACGAACGCUGGCGGCGCGCCUAACACAUGCAAGUCGAACGAGCGAGAGAGAGCUUGCUUUCUCGAGCGAGUGGCGAACGGGUGAGUAACGCGUGAGGAACCUGCCUCAAAGAGGGGGACAACAGUUGGAAACGACUGCUAAUACCGCAUAAGCCCACGGUGCCGCAUGGCACAGAGGGAAAAGGAGUAAUCCGCUUUGAGAUGGCCUCGCGUCCGAUUAGCUAGUUGGUGAGGUAAUGGCCCACCAAGGCGACGAUCGGUAGCCGGACUGAGAGGUUGAACGGCCACAUUGGGACUGAGACACGGCCCAGACUCCUACGGGAGGCAGCAGUGGGGAAUAUUGCACAAUGGGGGAAACCCUGAUGCAGCGACGCCGCGUGGAGGAAGAAGGUCUUCGGAUUGUAAACUCCUGUUGUUGGGGAAGAUAAUGACGGUACCCAACAAGGAAGUGACGGCUAACUACGUGCCAGCAGCCGCGGUAAAACGUAGGUCACAAGCGCUGUCCGGAAUUACUGGGUGUAAAGGGAGCGCAGGCGGGAAGACAAGUUGGAAGUGAAAUCUAUGGGCUCAACCCAUAAACUGCUUUCAAAACUGUUUUUCUUGAGUAGUGCAGAGGUAGGCGGAAUUCCCGGUGUAGCGGUGGAAUGCGUAGAUAUCGGGAGGAACACCAGUGGCGAGGGCGGCCUACUGGGCACCAACUGACGCUGAGGCUCGAAAGUGUGGGUAGCAAACCAGGAUUAGAUACCCUGGUAGUCCACACCGUAAACGAUGAUUACUAGGGUGUGGGAGGAUUGACCCCUUUCAGUGCCGCCAGUUAACACAAAUAAGUAAUCCACCCUGGGGAGUACGACCGCAAGGUUGAAACUCAAAGGAAUUGACGGGGGGCCCGCACAAUCAGUGGAGUAUGUGGUUUAAUUCGACGCAACGCGAAGGAACCUUACCAAGUCUGGACAUCCCUUGACAGGCACAGAAAUAUGUUUUCUCUUCGGAGCAAGGAGACAGGUGGUGCAUGGUUGUCGUCAGCUCGUGUCGUGAGAUGUUGGGUUAAGUCCCGCAACGAGCGCAACCCUUAUGGUCAGUUACUACGCAAGAGGACUCUGGCCAGACUGCCGUUGACAAAACGGAGGAAGGUGGGGAUGACGUCAAAUCAUCAUGUCCUUUAUGACUUGGGCUACACACGUACUACAAUGGCGUUAAACAAAGAGAAGCAAGACCGCGAGGUGGAGCAAAACUCAGAAACAACGUCCCAGUUCGGACUGCAGGCUGCAACUCGCCUGCACGAAGUCGGAAUUGCUAGUAAUCGUGGAUCAGCAUGCCACGGUGAAUACGUUCCCGGGCCUUGUACACACCGCCCGUCA